rnacentral:rRNA from 1 species
AACGAACGCUGGCGGCAGGCUUAACACAUGCAAGUCGAACGCCCCGCAAGGGGAGUGGCAGACGGGUGAGUAACGCGUGGGAACAUACCCUUUUCUACGGAAUAGCUCUGGGAAACUGGAAUUAAUACCGUAUACGCCCUACGGGGGAAAGAUUUAUCGGGGAAGGAUUGGCCCGCGUUGGAUUAGCUAGUUGGUGGGGUAAAGGCCUGCCAAGGCGACGAUCCAUAGCUGGUCUGAGAGGAUGAUCAGCCACAUUGGGACUGAGACACGGCCCAAACUCCUACGGGAGGCAGCAGUGGGGAAUAUUGGACAAUGGGCGCAAGCCUGAUCCAGCCAUGCCGCGUGAGUGAUGAAGGCCUUAGGGUUGUAAAGCUCUUUCACCGAUGAAGAUAAUGACGGUAGUCGGAGAAGAAGCCCCGGCUAACUUCGUG